AUGGAUGGGUCUGAUUACGAGUAUCCUUCAGUUGCAAGCGUUCCAGAUCCCUAUGACAUGGUGUAUAGCAAAAUCCCAACAGACACACAGAAAUUGAAGCCAGUGGAAGACUACAAACACAGUAAUGCAAAGAAGUUUGAGCGUGAGACCAUGCGGUUUUGCUUUCAUAAGGGGAAGAUCAAACUAGCCAACCCAGAUACGCCACCUGUGCUCAUGAAGCUAUGGACGAGUACUGACCUUGAUGCUAGGCAUUUUCGUGACAACAUCAGGUUUUUCAAUAGCCAUUUCUCAUUCACCUCAGUACAUUGUAACCUUGAUAGUCAUAACACCAACACAUUAAAGCAUCCUAUCUACACAUUUCGUGCCCAUGGCCAAAUGUACCACAACAUACGGUCAUUUGGCAAACAAGAUGGUCUGGAUCAUAUUCACCUGGAGCUCAACUUCUAUGAUGACGAUCUCAGUUUAGAGCAUAGGUAUCGCAGUUAUUGCAAAGAGCAAUGCCAGAAAGACAAAGAAGUAAUCACAACUGGUCGACAUACUUCAUGCCAACCCAUACUCUAA
rnacentral:rRNA from 1 species